rnacentral:rRNA from 1 species
GACGAACGCUGGCGGCGUGCCUAAUACAUGCAAGUAGAACGCACAGUUUAUACCGUAGCUUGCUACACCAUAAACUGUGAGUUGCGAACGGGUGAGUAACGCGUAGGUAACCUGCCUGGUAGCGGGGGAUAACUAUUGGAAACGAUAGCUAAUACCGCAUAAUAUUGAUUAUUGCAUGAUAAUUGAUUGAAAGAUGCUAUUGCAUCACUACCAGAUGGACCUGCGUUGUAUUAGCUAGUAGGUGAGGUAACGGCUCACCUAGGCGACGAUACAUAGCCGACCUGAGAGGGUGAUCGGCCACACUGGGACUGAGACACGGCCCAGACUCCUACGGGAGGCAGCAGUAGGGAAUCUUCGGCAAUGGACGAAAGUCUGACCGAGCAACGCCGCGUGAGUGAAGAAGGUUGUCGGAUCGUAAAGCUCUGUUGUAAGAGAAGAACGGGUGUGAGAGUGGAAAGUUCACACUGUGACGGUAGCUUACCAGAAAGGGACGGCUAACUACGCG